rnacentral:rRNA from 1 species
CCUACGGGAGGCAGCAGUGGGGAAUAUUGCACAAUGGGCGAAAGCCUGAUGCAGCGACGCCGCGUGAGGGACGACGGCCUUCGGGUUGUAAACCUCUUUCAGCAGGGACGAAGCGCAAAGUGACGGUACCUGCAGAAGAAGCACCGGCUAACUACGUGCCAGCAGCCGCGGUAAUACGUAGGGUGCAAGCGUUGUCCGGAAUUACUGGGCGUAAAGAGUUCGUAGGCGGUUUGUCACGUCGUUUGUGAAAACUCACAGCUCAACUGUGAGCCUGCAGGCGAUACGGGCAGACUUGAGUACUGCAGGGGAGACUGGAAUUCCUGGUGUAGCGGUGAAAUGCGCAGAUAUCAGGAGGAACACCGGUGGCGAAGGCGGGUCUCUGGGCAGUAACUGACGCUGAGGAACGAAAGCGUGGGUAGCGAACAGGAUUAGAUACCCUGGUAGUCCACGACGUAACGGUAGGCGCGUAGUGUGGUUCCGUUCCGUACGGACGUACGUCGCGUAGCUACGACAUAGCGCCCGCCGUCGGGAGGUACGGCCGCGAGACGAAACGUACGAAAGGAAGUUAGUUACGGCGUGAGACGUGCCGACGGCGACGACGAGGGAGGAGG